UACAGAGGUCUCAAGCGUUGUUCGGAUUCAUUGGGCGUAAAGGGCGCGUAGGUGGUUCUGUAUGUCUACCGUGAAAGCAUACAGCUCAACUGUAUUUUGUCGGUAGAAACUGCAGGACUUGAGGCUGGGAGGGGCUGGUGGAAUUCCCUGUGUAGCGGUGAAAUGCGUAGAGAUGGGGGAGAACACUCGUGGCGAAGGCGGCCAGCUAGACCAGUUCUGACACUGAGGCGCGACAGCGUGGGGAGCAAACAGG
rnacentral:rRNA from 1 species